UAUCGUUCUCACGAUUCCCUCCUGGACCUGCGGGAUUUCUCUCCUCCACGUCUCUUCCACACCUCCUCCCGAACCCUCUAUCCCGCCAGAGGUGGAGUGUGACGGGCGCAGAUGGCGGCCACAAAAGCGCGCGGCUGAGGACGGCGCCGAACGGCGGGCAUUAUCGUCGGAUCUUCCCGGCCAACCCCGCUCCUCUGCGAGCACCUGGCCGCCCCGGCUGCCUCCAGCGCCUAGCGGCACUCCGCCUCCACUGCUCCACCACUUCCUGGCCGCGCCCGAGCCCCCGCUGCUCCGCCAGCGCAUGGCCACCCCGGCUUUGAGCUUUGGCGGCGUGUCCCAAGUCCCCACCAUUAGCGGACAGGGCGAUGACAAGGGCCGUCGGUAGUGCACGUGGGGAGGCGUAGAACGGAGGGGCGAGCUGCUAGGUACGCUGGACACGCCGCAAAAGCUGGGUACGCGAUACACACUUCCGUUGCCAGGGACGUGGAUAGCUGCUAGGUAUGCUGGUGCUGCUGUUGCCGGUCUGAUGUCGUUGCCGGGAUAGUUGCAGAUAGGUUGAAUCUGCGGAGCAACACAAUGAAGGGUGGUGACAGGGGAGUAGGCGCGUGGCUGGGAGCAAGCCGGUGGGGCCCGUGGCAGAUGCCUGCGGCGGGUGAGCAGUCGGCGCGGAUAAUAGCAACCAUGCAGCAUCAGGUUCCCCAGUGGGAUGAUAUGCAACGGAGGUCAGGAUAUCAGAUAUAUGCAUGAUGUUACUUGUUUUGGACAAAAAUCAUGGUAUUUCGUUGGUUUUCUGAUAAGAGAAAUCACAUGCCUUCCAAGUUCUAGCUUUCCGUGCAGGUAACAUCGCUAGCUUCUGCCAUAUAUUGGACCAGUGAAAGUCUCUGUGCUCACAACGUGUUCGACGAAAUAACAAUGGUGUUGUGCUUUUGAGGUCAGUCUCCAAAAGGGAGCAUCUGCAGGCAUGUAAGUUGCCGGACGCGGCGCUCUCCACAUGCAGGAGGAUUUAUGGAAGAGGAAAACAUGCAUGGGAAGGGGCAGAGGUGGUUCUGCAUCGCCUCCAGCAGCACCAUAUUCAAGGAAUUCGUACAGCAGUGUUACCUCUUGCCUUCCAGUUUGCUUUCAUGGUUAAACUCAUGUUUAAAUAUAUGGACGUGUCCUUUUGAAUAUGUAAAUGUUACAUCUCUGAUAAUUUGCAUGGUAUAUCUAACCAUUCUGCCCUUUCUUUAUUAUUUAGCGAAGGUAAGAUGAAAUUUACCUGUGUGUAGUGUAACAUGUUAUGUAGGUAGACCAGACAUUCAGAUUUGAAAACUGUUUGGCCAUGGCCAUACAUUUAGCUGCUUGGAGUAUAUUACCUGCACAGGUUCCUUAGUUACAUGGUUCCCAACUUCCCAUUAUGUAUGGCAAAAGAUCUUCACAUUGACUAACGAUGUUUAAAUACAUAAGAGAACAUUCAUAUGCUGUUUUCCUACAAAUCUAACUAUGAACCCCAGAAGUGAAUGUAUGAUCAUUUCUUAUUAAAUCAUUGAAGUGCUUGCUUUUCUCUCUGAUUUUCUUUGUGUGACAUAUAUAGAGUCGUCUUAUAGUUAUAUUUGGCCUGAAACAAAAUAAUGUCCAUUCACUCCAAACGACCAAACCUACAAUUUUUGUUAGUGGAAUUUUAUGUUUGUCACAGUCGAUACUAAGACAUACUUGCAUCAAACAUAUCAUUUUUAUAUAAGGAUAUGCGCAACAAACAAUGUGUUGCAAUCAUUUUUCUAUAUAUAGUCAGCACUGAGACACAACAUGUGUACUCUCUUUGAAAGCAGGUGAACCAGCUGGAUCUCUUUGUCAACGACUUUAAUGGGGAUGAGGUCAGGGCUGGAGCUGCAUUUCCACUGCUCUCUCCAGCUCACAGCUGGUUAUGCAUGCUUUACCUUAUAUCUGCCCAGAUUUCAUGCACUUUUCUCACGGUAUAAUAAAGAAACGCACCAUCAUGGAAGAUGGCGGCUCAAGUUCUUUCUACACAUGCAUGAUUACUAUUCUUCGAGAAAAAAGGAACUGCUACUCACCCGCAAUCGAGGUUUAUGCUAAAGCAUGAGUAAACCUAUAGAAAAUGUUCAUGCCUACAAGGUCAAAAAAGACGAUUGCUGAUGCAGCUUAUUGCCCGCAUAUAUUGAUAGAUUUUUAGUUAUCUUACCUCUUCUUCUAUAAGAAUAGAUCACUAAUGCUAAUGCAGCUUAUUACGAUCUUGUGUUGUUGUAGUAUUUUCCCCUUAUGCAGUAGGUGUCUCGCAAGCUUAUUGUAUGGCAAAUAAUGUGUGAGGUUUCAGAUUCAGUAAAUUUAUUUCUGCUGCAUCA
rnacentral:rRNA from 1 species